rnacentral:tRNA from 1 species
AAGCGACCUGCUUGAGAGUGCUUCGUUCACACCGAAGAGGUCACUGGUUCGAUCCCAGUAUCGCCCACCA